rnacentral:rRNA from 1 species
UACGUAGGGUGCGAGCGUUGUCCGGAAUUACUGGGCGUAAAGAGCUCGUAGGUGGUUUGUCGCGUUGUUCGUGAAAACCGGGGGCUUAACCCUCGGCGUGCGGGCGAUACGGGCAGACUUGAGUACUGCAGGGGAGACUGGAAUUCCUGGUGUAGCGGUGAAAUGCGCAGAUAUCAGGAGGAACACCGGUGGCGAAGGCGGUUCUCUGGGCAUGAUCUGACGCUGAGGAGCGAAAGUGUGGGGAGCGAACAGG